AUUCGUUCCGCACGAAGCAUUUUGAUUGAUUUAUUAUUUAAAUUCAGUUCUAGCAAACAUGUACAACCACGUGUUGUUACAGUGCAUUGUGAUAUAUGUUGGUCUAGAUGUUAGUGCUGGGGCGCCAACUGUGCCAGUUAAGGACUAUUUGAGCGUACAGAGGCAAAUGAUGUCUCUUCUCCGAAUGAGACGGAACGAAACGCAGACUCAAACGGAAUAUCACAGAAACGGAACGGCGGCGGAACGAGACAGAAACGGAACAGAUUUCAGGCGACAAGCUGGAAACGCGAUGACCACUCCGCAGUUUGUUAUGACGUCAACAACAAGAAGAAGACGAACUACGCCAUUCCGUCUGAGCUUCAACGAAGAUUGUGACUACCUCGCCUACUACUGUUUGAGAGCGUAUAACACGGGUAAAUUAUGUGGUCGCACCUUGUACUACAUAUAUCACGACUUUCACAACUACUGCAUGUUGGAUUACGUCAAUUGCAUGGAAAGAUACGAAGUAUGGCAAGUCGUCCACAUGGGAGCAUGCUUCAAUAUCGAACCUCUUCAAGAAUACAAACGUAAGUAGACCAUUGGCCCCGAUGCCUGCAGACACCUCCUAAUUUUACUUUAAGUUAUACCUGUCAUUUUCUUAUCCGCCGAAAAGGAAAGGGACGGAUGAUUGACAGCUCUUAAUUUUAGGAAGAAUGAGUAAAUGAAUGAAUGACCCGGGCGAAUCAAAAAGGUACGUCGCUGGUAUGCAAUCCGUUUGACGUGCUGUCUACUUAACUGUGUCGGGUUAUUAACGGAUGUAAAAUUUUUAGACGGUUGGUUUAGAUUUGUGCUUAAAAUUGACGUGUGUUCCAUAAAUUUUAUGCUUGUCGAUUACCCGUCCCUUUCCUUUUCGGCGGAUAAGAAAAUGACAGAUAUAACUUAAAAUAAAAUUAGAUG